GAUUCUGUUUUAAAACCAUAUAUAUAUAUAUGUCCAUGUUGUAACAUUUUUUAAAAAGACCGUCUGCAGAGCAAGAUGCGACAGUGAUAAUCUCAGCAGGAGGAAAUCACAGUUUUUUUGUGUGUGUUUAACUCUAUAUUCUCCAUUUUUGCAGUGGAAAUGCAUUAUGUUUGUAAUCAUGAAAGAAUGCAUUUACUGGGUGAAGAGGAAGGUCCCUGACUCAGAAGACAGUAUGGGCCCACGCAUCUGACCACGUGAUUGGUGUCAUGUGCUUGACCAGCCGUUUCUCAGCUUUCCCCCUCCACUUGCAGGGCUGCUGAGCACAAGCCCCAGGUGAGGUCAUGCUGAAAGCCACAGGCAGCCUCUCAUCAGAUGGCACAUUGACAUAAAUGCAGUAUCACUUCAGGGCUAUGAGGCUUCAGAGGAGGGGAAAGGGUGAACUGGAAAAUCAAGAGGGGCUUCCUGGAGGAGGUAGGAAUCAACUGCAUCAGCUACAGCUGGGCAGAACAUAGAGAGCAUCUUUAGUAAAACAUGCACCUGGACUCUAGGGAAGAGCAGAGGAGGGCCCGGGCAGUGUGGCCCCUGCAAGAUGAGGCCAGGGGACUGGAGGGCCAGGCUGGGAGAGGGCAGACCCCUUUGCCAUGAGCACAGGGGUUGUGCGGCCAGUUCUUAGUGAUGUUUCGGACGGUGACCAGUCACGGGACAGCAGGACGUGGUGGUCUUCUGACCUCUGCCACAGGGAACACAGUGGGGCCAGCCCCUGGCCGCACGUGAUGGAGUCUUCACAAGUGCCCAGCACCUACUGCCCUGGGCCAGGCUGUCUUUCACGUCAGCUCCUUGGACCAGGAAGCAUCUGAGAGGCCCUGCAGCCCCGGCUGAGGAGGCAGGCCGUAAGCAGGCCCAGGUCCCAAGUGUGGGCUCGCUCCACGUGGAGUGGUCUCCAAGGCCAGGCCUGCAGUGCCUGUUUCCUGCGCCCUGAGGACCUGGAGAACAGAGGACGGAUGGACACAGCAGCCAGGCGGAGCAGGCCUGAGCCCGGCUCGAGGGAAGCUUGGCUUCUCGUCUGGCAUCCCCGUGUUUUACAUAAUUAGGCACCUCCACAUACACCGAUACCCCCAACGCUCACAGCAUUCUGCCAGAUACCACGUCUCCCCCACCCAGGACAGAAAUGCGUGUGAUAAAAAUGUUUAAGCAAUUGAAAGGAGCGUGGGUGUGGUGGGCAGAAUUAUUAAAUACCAACAGCAACAACAAAUCCUCGGGUCGGCCUGGCCAGACGAGCGUUUCUCAGCUCAGGUUACCGCUGGCGAGUCCUGCUGGUUGCUCUGUCCCUGCUUCGUUCAGGUUGCUCUUCCAGCACAUCCUCAGCACCUUUCCAGCCUCCACCUGCUGCCCGCUUCAAAAACAAGGCCAGAGUUUGAGCUCCUCUUUCUUCAAAUCGCCUUUAACCUCACUUGGAAUGCCAGUCUUCACCAGAUCGGCCCAGGGCCCAGCACCCUCGCACCCACUCAAACAUGUUGUUGGCACCUCGGAGCCAGGAGUUGGUCUUCACAGCUGUGGGCGAGCUGUGGUGUAGGCUUUUGUGGUCCCUGAGCCCCACGGACCCUACUCACCCAGAGCAGGGGCUGCCUGCAUCACGAGCGUGUGAGUCACAGUCAUGACCAGAAAAAGCCCACUCCGGAGAGGCAUGCUGCCUCUGCUCCUUCCCCAGGCCCGCUCUGGGGCACCUCAAACGUGCAGCCACAGGCUGACCCCUGCAGCCCACCGAUUAGGGGCGUGAUGCAGCCGUGGCUGGAGGGCCGGGGCUGGGGCUGGUCCCUGUGUCCCUGGGAGUCGGAGGCAGCUUCCUGCAGCCCAGCCGCCACAGUGUGCAAGCUGCCAUCAAAGCCUGAGUGUUUCUCCAAAAACGUGGAUAUCAGACAAGACAAAAUGUUGUGAGGAUGUUCCAGAUGAAGGAACACACAAGAGGCAUGGCAAUUAACUGCAGUGGACUGAACCCCAGAUUAGAAGGGACAAAUGGUCUUAGAAGAAACCAUCACACCGAGGUCAUAUCUGAGCACAGCUUGGAGGCCCCUAUGUUUGCAGGCAAGUGAUUGAUU